rnacentral:rRNA from 1 species
GUUGGGUUAAGUCCGUAACGAGCGCAACCCUUGUCCUUAGUUACCAGCACGUUAUGGUGGGCACUCUAAGGAGACUGCCGGUGACAACCGGAGGAAGGUGGGGAGUGACGUCAAGUCAUCAUGGCCCUUACGGCCUGGGCUACACACGUGCUACAAUGGUCGGUACAAAGGGUUGCCAAGCCGCGAGGUGGAGCUAAUCCCAUAAAACCGAUCGUAGUCCGGAUCGCAGUCUGCAACUCGACUGCGUGAAGUCGGAAUCGCUAGUAAUCGUGAAUCAGAAUGUCACGGCGAAUACGUUCCCGGGCCUU